UCACUGCCGCACUGUUUGCCAUUAUUCGCUCCCAUCCUCCAGGCUUCAUGCUAUAUCAUCACAGCCCACCACACCAUCCCAAAUUCCAGACAGAUGGAAAAGAAAACAAGCAACAGAGCUGCAGCGCAGGACAGGAAUCGUUCAGCUGGCUACGCAGUUUCCAGGCUUGAGAGAGAGAGAGGGAGGGAGGGGGAGUGGGAAAACUCAAAAUUACAGCGCACAGGCGCUCGGCGUGUCCUUUCUAGGGGUUUUUUUUCUCUUGUUGUUGGAGGGGCUUGAAGUUUACACUAUUGAUUCGUCCACCGGCAUUAAGAAGCAAAAUCCAAAGCGAUCCUAGAAAGUCCAGCCACAACCAGAGCAGGUCCCGCCACUCAUCAACGCAGCAGAUAACGCGAAUACCGCCCGGCUGUGAGCCCGGGCUGCAGACCUCAUCCCUCAGCCCCGGGGCCCCCCUCCUUCUCCCGAGCAACGCCCCUUCUCCCAGAGCCGAGGCUGGGCCGGGGCCUCCCAGUCACCAUCCCAUCCCCCGCCCAGGGUUCAGGGGAAGGCGCUGCACCCCCCGGCCCCGUUCAGGAGGCGUUUAGGUGUCACAACCGCGGGCAGUUCAUUUAACACUCUCUUUUAGUUUCACCGGGGUUUCUUUCCGGAUACGUGCCUGUGGAUGGUCUCCUGGCGUAACUCAGCAGAAACUGGAAAUUCGGCCUGAUUUCCCCAUGAUAAUGUUGUUGCUCUGCACUUGGACCCUCCUCGGAGAUGUGCCAGAGGACUGGAGGAGAGCUAAUGUGGUACUACUAUUCAAGGAAAGAGGACGGGAUAAACCAGUCAGUCAUCAUGAUUCUGGAUUCCACAUUGUGAAUACAUUGCAGUGACACCAACUGCUCCUCAAGCUCUCAAACCUGGAGUUCAAGUUGCUGCGGCUGACUACACAGGCUAAUAGAACUGUUACAGUACGAAAGGAAGCUGUUUCACCCUUCAUGGCUGUAUUGACUUUCUGGUUGAGUGAUUCGCUUGAUGUCAUUGCGCAAAAUUACAGAGAGCAGAUGAUACAUUCUUUGAGUAUUUCAAUUGAACCUGCCUUCACUACACAAAGACAAUGUGUACUAGCCAUCUUUCUUUCUUUUUUCCCCAGCACCCAUGUUUGGUGUACAGAUGUUAGACACAGUGAAUGAAUAACAUGUGCAUAAAACUUUAUUCAUGUUCCACUAGCAGGAAGAAAGGAAACACACAAGUGGCUAGUGACAAGUAGUACCCUUCUCAUCAAAGGAAAAUUCUGUGUGAUGGAAAAGUGAAAGGGGAGGACAGGGACUAAAUGGAGAUACAGUCGGAGGGGGAUACUAGACUGCAUGAAGAAGAUUCUUCUCACGCUGUAUUUGCUUCUUUUACCAAAUUACUUUUGUUUUGAUACCUUUGCAAAUGGGAGAAGUGUAUCCCUAUCUAUGUCAUCUAGAUCCUCAUGAUUUUGGCUAUAUUCGGGUCUUGGGAAACACCUUGGAGUUCCUACUUGGAUGUACACUUCAAAACUCAGAGCUGCCAUGUCAUUCCUUCAUUUAGUGAAUAAUAAAAUCUAUUCUGAAUGAAUGAACAUGGAACAACUACUCAAUUCCAUCCAUCUGUUGUCACUUAAUGUCAAAAUGUCAACUUAAAUACUUUAUCCUGACUAACAAUAAAAAUCUAAUCAUCCAAGAAAUUACUAAUUUCCUCACAGAGUCAUAGAGAUGUACAGCACGGAAACAGUCCGCAACGACCUGAUGAAGGAACUGCCCUCCGAAGGCUCGUGUGCUUCCAAUUAAACCUGUUGGACUCUAA